AGUCGGGCAACAACAUCCUGGUGUUCAGAGUGGAAUAGUGUGUACAUGUCACUAGGUUAAAGGUUACAGUGCCAAAAAAUGUAUUCACAUGAUGGCUGCCACCGCAACUGACAGCCCAUAUGGGGGCAUGCAUGUUUUACAAACAGACCUUGUUAAAUUGGCUGCUGAGUCAGGACAACAAUGACUAGGAUGUGGUGGACAAGAAUGACCUGAGUACGCAGAAGGUGAGCAUGAGCAUUGUUAUCGAGUUGACGCGGCAACGGCACCAGUCGGACCUCCAGGAGCCUCAGUUCAGGACAGCCCUUCCCCUCCCAUGACCCAUAGCUCCACCCCUUUGACCUCCUGCCUCAAAGCUUCGUUGAACAAUACCAUUCUGCUGGAAUGUCUGAGUAUGUUGAGUUUUCACAAGCUGUUCUCAACAACAGGACAACCCUUCCCCUCCCAUGACCCAUAGCUCCACCCCUUUGACCUCCUGCCUCAAAGCUUCGUUGAACAAUACCAUUCUGCUGGAAUGUCUGAGCAUGUUGAGUUUUCACAACUGCCGUCUCUGUGUAGAUUGAUAAGCACUCGAGCCUGAGUAGUUUGUUUAGCUCCAGUGCUGAAAAAUAAAAAGUUGGAUAACUUGUUACAUGCUUUGUGGGACUAACAAAGCAACAGCGAAUAAUGGGAGAAAAUCAAGAAAUAGUUGAAGAGUUAAAAUUGGAAGCAUAAGCUAUCAACGGGGGGCUACUUCUGAUUUCAAUAGUAGUAGCAUAAUGGACCAUCCUGAUUUGUCCUCUAUUGCGUCCAAAAUGUUCAAGAUGAACGUGCUUUUUACGCAGUUGCUGACAAAAAAACUUUGUUAUGAACACUCAUAGCAUGAUGAAUACAUAGGGUGUUGUUCAGGCGCAAAUUCUGCCCAUCAUCGUUAACAAGGUGCUUAAGGUGCACCCAUCAGGGUUUGUUACGAGCACUUCACACUCCAAGACAAAACGGCCUCGCAUUGAAUAGACACUAGAUAAAGCUUGAAAAAUGACAGCAGUUUUGUUGUGUGGUCAAGUAUGCCCUUUGACUCUCAACCCGACAUAAGGUAGAACUCAAACUCGGCCCUCAGCAAUAUCAGCGAGGCUAGCAGUUUUGUUGUUUGGUCCAGUAUGCACUUUGACUCUCAACCUGACAUAAGGUAGAACUCAAACUCGGCCCUCAUCAAUAUCAGCGAGGCCAGCAUGUCAUCUCACCUUCUUCAGCCUCAGAUCCGCCGCUUCCCUGCAACACCUGAAAAACACACAACGGAUAAUACAGAUCAAACAGUAUUUUCCAACAAGACAAACCUCGUUGAAGUAAAUGUUGAUGGCAAUCCGCGCCCCCUUCUUUAACAAAUACUACAACUUGCUCAAGAAAUUAAGUAGCAAGACGUCUUGCAUCAGCCUAGCACGCCACAUCUUCUCCAAUGUUGGCUACAGCAACACUUCAAAUCGCAGAGCCUUGAUGAGUCCGACUUUCGUCCCAUCGUUGUUGUUGCUUAGAAACGAUUCGAUGGACAACUUGUUCCAGACGAU